rnacentral:lncRNA from 1 species
UAUUAAAGUGUUUGGGCAAUUAUUAGCUAUAGCAGGGUGGGGAGUCCUAGCAAACCUCCUUAAGUUUCUUUCUCUAGUCAGAGAUCCAUCAGCUGGAGAGGAUCUCCUCUGACUACAAUAGCUACGUAAAAGGGCUAAAGGAUGCCUGGCUUAAGUCAGUUCUGAAUUUGUCCAUUGAUCACACUGCAUGGGUGGUAUGGAUGCAUUGGGAGUAAGUCUUCUACAAGUAGAUUUUAUAUAUGGGUUUCUAACGCUGAGAAUCAGACUUGCACCUUUGAUGCAGUCAUCUGAACCCAUCUGCUUUUAGGAGUAUGGGCUUUCCUCUACAUCUGUGACUUAUAAACCCCCACAGUACACAGGCUAUGUCAUUUCCUGUGAGUGUUGUACAGAUGGAGUUAAUGCCUAUUAGGGACAACUGACCACAGUUGCAGCUAAGAGUCAUUCUUCCGAGUCUCAGUGUCAGUCACAGCUCAGGACUGAUACAGUAUGAGCAGAAUUAGUGUUUUCUUCCUAAAUGGUCAUCAAGUCUUCCAACCUAGUCAUGUUCAUCUAUGAUAGUUGUUCGGAUGCAGCAAAUGCAGCCAGUCGGCACACCCCAAGUGACAAAGGCAUGUUAUCCUCCCAGAACCAGUUAUCAAACAGAACCAAACCCUGAGAGCCACCUAGUAGUGCCUCACCCCCCAGCUUGCUGUGUCAACUGCUGUAGCCAUCCCCAAAGGUAGAACUUGCUUUCUUUUUACCACAAACUUAUUUCCAAUGCUGAAGUCGAUAGCACCUCUUUCCCAUGAAACAGACAUAAAAAUGUUUAUUACUCACACAGCAGGCUUUCAGGAAGGUGCCUGUACUAAGAUGGUCCAAGAAUAGUUUGAGCAGGCAAAUCAAACCAACUUGGUUUUAAUAGCUUGGAGGUAAAAAGGGCAAGGUGAAACAACUGAGCUUUCUUACCAACAUGUCUAGCUAUGGAGCAAAAACUUCUAGCAAAACUUAAAAAAAAAAAGUAGUGAAACUCUAGUACAAAGUAAAAGAGUACAAGGCUCCUUUAGUUUAUGCUUUUGAGAAGUGGUGUCACAUUACUUCAUGGUUUUUCAGAGCAGAAAAAUAAUUUAGAGAAUAAUACCAAAUCAGAGAUUCCAACUAACUGUACUUUUGCUCUCCACCAAGGAGACUCCAAGAUUCUGAUCACAAAUGCAGCCUCACUGUGCCUCAUAUGGUCAAUGCAGGCGAAGCUCAGCCCUGAAUAGUGAACCCUUAAUACUCACAGGGCGGGUGGACUUCCUUAGAUCUUUGGGCUUCUCACUCUGCUCUGGCUUUAAUUUACUGGUACAAUCCCACUCUUCCUUUUAACAACAUGCUUUGUCUAUAAUGUCACCCACACUUAGAAGGCACUGUAACAACCAGAGUCCCUCUGCCAGCAUUUAUGCUGGAACCCUUGGCAUGCUUUGCCUUAUACUAUUUGUCUUAUCCUUCAGUGUUUGUAUGGUUUACACUAUUUUAUUUUGGCAGCCAGACUACAAGCUAACUGACUGUGAGGCUCAUGAUUGAUCUGUCUUCCCACUCAUUAUUCAGACAACUAUUGCUGAUAAUACAGUAGACGUCUCUUGUGUUUAAUGAGCAGGCGGGUGAAUAAAUAUUAUCUCAGGCCCUAUUAUUUUUGAAAAUAUGCAAUGUUGUCAUAGUUAUAACCAAGUAAACAGUAAAUCACUAGAGGGAACUUCUGAUUUCAAUAGUAUAGAAGACAAAAAGCCCAUGCAUUUGACAUUACAAACUGUUCCUGUCUUUCCCUUGGGAUUUCUGUGAGUUGCAAAAUAAUUUUCCUUUGGAGCUAGGGUAGAGAUCGUUUCUUCAUUAAUUCCUAUCAUCCUUGUGACCCAAACGAGAGUAGCUUUCAGAUCCAUUAUCCAGUUCACAUAUGAUUUCAUCAGUGCCCUGUAGACUGCCAUUAUAUACCAACCAUGUCUUUACCACUGUCCGGGGAAGUGGGAACCAGACCAUCUACAGUACAGAGGAAGAAGCUGUGGCUGCCAGGCUCGGAGAGUGCUCACAGAGCUACUAAUCUGGGAAGCAGGACCAAGCACAGCAGCUAUCGCUUCUCAAGUCCAGGUUAUAACCAUAUGUCAUAACACUUCCUUAGAAUGUGGUUUGUGGCUUUUAUGUGAUUCAAUGACAACUGGACUGAGGGAAAACUCAUUUCAUACAGCUGAAGAAUAGCAAACAUUCAUGAUUCUAAGUUAAAGGCUUUUAUUCCAUGCACUUACAUACAUAAUGACUGUAGAUUAUCAUUUAAUAUCCCAAUUGCCUGACUCCAUCUAUCACUCUGAGUUAAGAUGUAACCUUACUUGCUUUACUGAAAUUAGACUAGGAUCUAUGCACCUUUGCUAGCAAGACAAGGUAGUGGGAAUAAGUUCUGCUUUGCAGUCCCAGCAAUCCCACUCUCGGGCCAACAAGUCUUUUAAUUAAGAAGCUAGGCCACUCUGAACAAAUGGUUGCUUCACCAACACAGGCCUGGAAUUUCUUGCCAGCGUUUACAAAAAAAGUGCAGAUCAACUUCCCACAAAAGGAAAGUCUUUGCCCUCUACAAUAAAGGUCAUUUUCUUAAUUGGGCAUUUUUACAUAUACCUUGGCAUUAUUAUCUUUUCAUUCUCAUAACCUUCACCCAUUGAGAUGUAGACUGUCACUGCCUUUUACCAGAAAAAGAAACAGUAACUUAGCGGGGUUACAACUGGCUAAUAACUGUGACAAAGUUACAAACGCUGCAGAACAGAAACAAUUGAACUGAGCUGACGCACAUUUUGAAAUGCAGGGUUUUUUUGCUUGUUUGUUGGUUUUUUUUUUUUUCCUGUUAAUGUUUUCUACUUCCCGUGAACAUACAAUGAAAUUAUAGCAAAUAACAUGCAAAAUGCAAAGAUAUUGGUGGAAAAGCCAACCACACAAUUUAUGUUAGAGAGACAUUAAGGUCAUAGCUAAAGCCAAUUAACUCUUUUCUCCCAAUUGCCCAUUGUGUACUGAAACUUAUGUUCUGAGAUUAUCUGCAGACCUACAGCUACUUAUACAUGAGAAGGCCCGGUAAAAUUCAGUGAUCUUUCCACUUGAAAACACUGCUGGUCCCAGGGCUGCCAGUGACAAGAUAAGGCCAUAGUCUGCAGUCAGUCUGAGAGUAUAUUUUGCUUAACUACUUUCUGUUGUACCACUGCCCUGCUUGUAAGAUUCAUCAAGCACGGUUUCAUGACUGGGAUUUGUUGUACAAUCCCUUACGGGGCUGCACAUUCUCAUUUGUAAAUCAACCUCCUGGCCAGAUGUAGAGGAAGACCUGAGUCUCAUAUUAGACCUGUCUUUCAACCCUUAAGAAGUCAUCAAUUGGGACUACGCUAACCGCGUGACUUCCGCAGCAUUACCUGCCUUACAGCUGAAACACUGCAAAACUCAAGCCAAAUUCACUGUGAUGACCAGGAGUGGCGCUCUGUAUUCCUGAAGAGUGAACUGUCCUCUUGCUACCAUUCAGCCUGUAUAUGGCCCACAGAGAACACAGUGGCAGAACAGGAGUUCAAACACUUCAGACAAGAAAAGAUGCUGGAAUAAUUAGAAAAAAAAGUUAAGAUUCCUAGUAUCAUUUUCCUUUUAAACAUAUGGCACAACAUCUAACCUACAGUAGAUGCCUAACAAAGCAAAAUGGAAUGAAAAUGUAUCUCUCCCUUCCCGUAUUCUCCAGGGAUGAUGACAUGGGAGCAAAGGUCAGACCAAGCAAUUGGCUGUCACUUGCUUUCCUUAUAAAUCUUUCAAAGGGCUUGAUUGGGAAUCUCUUUUUAUCCAAUGUAGGGAGAUGGCCUAGGAAGCUUGAGAAACCAGGUAGAAAAGUGAAUGAUGAAGGGAUGAGGUAUUUUAAAUGAGGUACAAUGCUAUAUAUGCUGGACUUGGUGAAGCUCAGACAUAUGGACAAAUAACAAUGACAUGGGAAUUUAUACAAAGCAAGAAAUAUUAACUAGCCUGUAGAGAGGAGCAGGCAGAUAAAUUAGGGCAGUUGUAGUUGCGGGAAGAGACAGCCGAGGAAGGCUCCCAUGGCCAAAUAUAAGCCUGGAAAGCAUAAAAGUAGACAAAAAGC